UACAGAGGUCUCAAGCGUUUCGGAUUCAUUGGGCGUAAAGGGUGCGUCGGCGGCGCGGUAAGUCGGGUGUGAAAUCUUGGAGCUUAACUCCGAAACUGCAUUCGAUACUGCCGUGCUUGAGGACUGGAGAGGAGACUGGAAUUUACGGUGUAGCGGUGAAAUGCGUAGAUAUCGUAAGGAAGACCAGUGGCGAAGGCGGGUCUCUGGACAGUUCCUGACGCUGAGGCACGAAGGCCAGGGGAGCAAACGGG
rnacentral:rRNA from 1 species